AGAGUUUGAUCCUGGNUCCCCUUNAAANGGUGGCGGNGUGCUUAACACAUGCAAGUCGACCCNUUAAAANANAUUCGGUGGGGAUCAGUGGCGAACGGGUGAGUAACACGUGGGCAACCUGCCCCUAGCUCUGGGAUAACCUCGGGAAACCGAGGCUAAUACCGGAUAUGACUCCGAGCGGCAUCGCUCGGGGUGGAAAGUUUUUCGGCUAGGGAUGGGCCCGCGGCCUAUCAGCUUGUUGGUGGGGUAAUGGCCUACCAAGGCGACGACGGGUAGCCGGCCUGAGAGGGCGACCGGCCACACUGGGACUGAGACACGGCCCAGACUCCUACGGGAGGCAGCAGUGGGGAAUAUUGCGCAAUGGGCGAAAGCCUGACGCAGCGACGCCGCGUGAGGGACGAAGGCCUUCGGGUCGUAAACCUCUUUCAGCAGGGACGAAGCGCAAGUGACGGUACCUGCAGAAGAAGCACCGGCUAACUACGUGCCAGCAGCCGCGGUAAUACGUAGGGUGCAAGCGUUGUCCGGAAUUAUUGGGCGUAAAGAGCUCGUAGGCGGCUUGUCACGUCUGCUGUGAAAACUCGGGGCUCAACCCCGAGCCUGCAGUGGAUACGGGCUAGCUAGAGUGCGGUAGGGGAGACUGGAAUUCCUGGUGUAGCGGUGAAAUGCGCAGAUAUCAGGAGGAACACCGGUGGCGAAGGCGGGUCUCUGGACCGAUACUGACGCUGAGGAGCGAAAGCGUGGGGAGCGAAC
rnacentral:rRNA from 1 species